AAAAUCACCUCAGGAACCUGUACCAUGUACCACUAGUCCUGGGACACCCUGUAUACAGCAUGUGUAUUCGUCCUGUCCUUAGAUACGGGCUGCCUAUUUAUUGGGACUACCUAUCCAAGGCAAGAAAACACAGGGUACAGUGGCACAAAACAAAAUCUUAAAAGCAAUAUUUAACUUGCCGUGACCCCAUCCUACGUCGAGACUACACGAAUGGGCGUCGUAAAUAAGAGGGAAAGAAACCGAAAAUGUUCGACGAAUACUCCGCAUAGCAGAGAACAAGUCUUCUUCGUAAGCCAAGCCGAAGUACUUGUGCGAGUCGGCAACUCAGUAUUCAAAAGUAUGGAUCAGACGAUUUCGUAUUUCAGCUAGCAACAAGAUACGUACAAGAGGACGAUAUUGGUAUCGCUCCGGGUCAUUAUAGUCAAUCGUUGGCUGACCGCUGGUUAAAAAACGGCGUUAUCGCGGAUGGUUUGCAGUGGAUUUGUAGUUCCUCACCCAAAACUGCAGUGCACCGUGAGAUUAAAUCGGUACGGUCCUCUCUGGUAAGGUCCACAGCGUAGCUAACAAGGUGCUGCGCUUGUGCAUGCCCAGUAAGCGUUUCGACCUUACAAUCCGAGCUCCCAUGCAUAACAUGUCCUUGCAAGCGGAUCACCAUUUUUGAUGCAACGAAAUCAAUGAAAGAUUAAAAGACUAUCUUCACCCAUACAAUUGCGUAUGGAAAAAGACACGAAGAAUAGAAAAUACUCUGUUUAACUAGAAAAAGAAAACCAACAAGAGAAAAUACUCUCUUCGACAAUAUAAUCCAUUGAAUCAGUUUCAGCAAAAUUCUGCCGUUUUCAAGCAGAAUAACUAAUCAACCUCUUCGGGUUGUUUUUGUUGUGUUACAGCGACCGGCACUACGAAGUCUGCCGCACAGAUUAAGGUCUUCGCCUCAACCUCGAGGGCAAUAAAACUAAUAUUAUUUAAUAGAUAAUAUCUGUAUUGAUCGUUUAGAAUCGG